AAGUUUGAUCAUGGCUCAGGAUGAACGCUAGCGGAGGCCUAACACAUGCAAGCCGAGCGGUAGAGAUUCUUCGGAAUCUUGAGAGCGGCGUACGGGUGCGGAACACGUGUGCAACCUACCUUUAUCUGGAGGAUAGCCUUUCGAAAGGAAGAUUAAUACUCCAUAAUAUAUUGAUUGGCAUCGAUUGAUAUUGAAAGCUCCGGCGGAUAGAGAUGGGCACGCGCAAGAUUAGCUAGUUGGUGAGGUAACGGCUCACCAAGGCGAUGAUCUUUAGGGGGCCUGAGAGGGUGAUCCCCCACACUGGUACUGAGACACGGACCAGACUCCUACGGGAGGCAGCAGUAAGGAAUAUUGGUCAAUGGGUGCAAGCCUGAACCAGCCAUCCCGCGUGAAGGACGACUGCCCUAUGGGUUGUAAACUUCUUUGUAUAGGGAUAAACCUACCCUCGUGAGGGUAGCUGAAGGUACUAUACGAAUAAGCACCGGCUAACUCCGUG
rnacentral:rRNA from 1 species